rnacentral:rRNA from 11 species
AAACGUAAGAUUAUUAUUAUUUACUCAUCAGAUGUCAUCUGAUCUUGGAAGCUAAGCAGGAUCAGUCCUAGUUAGUACUUGCAUGGGAGAGCACCAACAAAUACUGGGUGCUGUCAAUUA